GGAGAGGUGGCCGAGAGGCUGAAGGCGACGGUUUGCUAAACCGUUAUACUGGUGUUAAGCCGGUAUCGGGGGUUCGAAUCCCCCCCUCUCCG
rnacentral:tRNA from 1 species